CUUGCCUGGGACUAGCAGGUCCACUUCCAAGAUGGCUCACUCACAUGUUUGACAAGCUAUUUCUGGUUGUUGGCAGGAGGCUUCAGUUCCUUGCCAUAUGGAUCUCACCACAGGGCUGCUUGAGUGUCCUCACAACAUGGCAGCUGGCAUCUCCCAGACUGAGUGAUCCUAGAGGGCAACUCAAAAGCCACUUUGACUUUUCUGACCUGAUAUGGUUUGGCUGUUUCCUCACCCAAAAUCUCAUAUUGGAUUGUAAUCCCCAUGAUCCUCACGUCAGAGGCUGGACCAGGUAGAGCCUUACUCAAGAGCAUGAAAAUCAGGAGGUGAGAAUCACUGGAGGACAUCUUGGAGAUUGGCUACCAUAGCCUGGAUUAAGAGAAGGAAAAAACCAGAAAGAUCAUAGGGACAAAUCUACACAAAAAUUAAUUGGUAUGGCUCAGGAUGGGUGGGGGUGAGUGGUUCAGGACCAAGGAUAUGAACAAUAUAAUGGAGACAGGUCAUACUCUGUGUGGCUAUGGUUGUGUGGUUAAAGGUAGGGAUAUAUGACAUGAGGUAUCUCUCUGUAUGGACAAAUUUUCUUUGGAAACUUGAAUUCUCAGUGUGAAAGACUAGACGAAUGUAGACAGCAUGGAUAGCAUUCAGCUUAAAUAUGCAGAUGGGGGAAAUGUAUAAAUGAAGCAAAUUCUUCAGAAUAAAGUUUAAAAGUUAACAAUUUGGUCAGCCAAAGAUACAAAAGACAAUGUAUUUCAGAUAAUGCCAACAACUAGACGAAGAGAUGAUGUCACAAAAUGGAAUCUGCAAUUCAAGUAGAAAUAAAAGAUGUUGUGGUAAUGAGAAAGUAAUAAAGACCUGGUUUGAUCUUCAAGGAGAACUACAAACCACUGCUCAAGGAAAUAAAAGAGGAUACAAACAAAUGGAAGAACAUUCCAUGCUCAUGGGUAGGAAGAAUCAAUAUCAUGAAAAUGGCCAUACUGCCCAAGGUAAUUUACAGAUUCAAUGCCAUCCCCAUUAAGCUACCAAUGCCUUUCUUCACAGAAUUGGAAAAAACUACCUUAAAGUUCAUAUGGCCCCAAAAAAGAGC
rnacentral:lncRNA from 1 species